AAGAGCGUAGCUCAAUUGGUUAGAGCGUCUUAUUCCAAAUAAGAAGGUUGCUGAAUCAUUCUCGGCCGCUCUUG
rnacentral:tRNA from 1 species